CUGGGACCAAGGCUGUGAUGGAGAACAAUUCACCCAAACGUGUCAGAUCAUCCAUCACUCAUAAGAGUCCAAGUCUUGGGAGAAUUUUCUUUUACCCUUAAGGUUGGGCCCCAUGAAGGCAAUGCCUGUGUCUGUUGUAUCACUACAAUAACCUCUAUCUUAGUAGAAACUAACAACAGUCCUUCCGUAAAUGAAAUUACAGAAAGAAGAGAGGACUAAACAAUCUCCUUUUGUUGCUAUGGCCCUGUGACAGUGGAACAUGGAGAUGUCGUGUCUGUGUGCUGAAAUAAGGAAACAUCCCUGCUUGUGUUAAAUAAAGUCAGCCAGCAUCACUGAUUUAUGGAACCAC